GAUGAAGAACGUAGCGAAAUGCGAUAAGUAGUGUGAAUUGCAGAAUUCAGUGAAUCAUCGAGUCUUUGAACGCACAUUGCGCCCUCUGGUAUUCCGGAGGGCAUGCCUGUCCGAGCGUCAUUGCUGCCCUCAAGCACGGCUUGUGUGUUGGGCCCCGCCCCCCGAUCCCGGGGGGCGGGCCCGAAAGGCAGCGGCGGCACCGCGUCCGGUCCUCGAGCGUAUGGGGCUUUGUCACCCGCUCUGUAGGCCCGGCCGGCGCUUGCCGAUCAACCAAACUUUUUUCCAGGUUGACCUCGGAUCAGGUAGGGAUACCCGCUGAACUUAAGCAUAUCAAUAAGCGGAGGA
rnacentral:misc_RNA from 1 species